UGCAUAAAUAUGUAUAUGUAUAUGUGAUCUGUUGCAUUCUUCUGCUAUCAUCAAUUUAUGGCUGUUUAAUCUUGUCUAGUUUUUUGAAAAUUUCCCAUCUUUUUAUGUAUUUUUAAUAUUUGGAGAGAACGUUCGAUUAGAUUUGAUCAGUGAAUUUGAGCUGAUAUUUCUUCUGACUAAAUUGGGGUGAAGAAAUGCGACGAGUGAACGGAAUAGGAGGCGAGAGGAGGGCCGGAGGAGUUAAUAAUACUCUCGAGACAAUAAACGCAGCUGCAAAUGCGAUCGCGGCGGCGGAGAAUCGUGUGCCUCAAGUUGGUGUUCAGAAAAGAAGAUGGGCUAGCUGCUGGAGCUUAUAUUGGUGUUUUGGAUCUCAUAAACACACCACGCGCAUUGGACACGCUGUUCUUGUUCCUGAACCUAUAGCUCCAAGGGCCGAUCCUCCUACGGUUGAAAAUCAAACUCAAGCACCUUCUGUGGCACUCCCUUUCAUCGCACCUCCCUCCUCUCCUGCUUCUUUCCUUCAGUCAGAACCUCCAUCUGCAACUCAAUCACCACCUGGCCUACUGUCCCUCACAUCUAUGUCUGCAAGCAUGUAUUCCCCUGGUGGGCCUGCCUCAAUGUUUGCUAUUGGCCCCUACGCCCAUGAGACACAAUUAGUUACUCCCCCUGUUUUCUCAACCUUUACAACCGAACCAUCUACUGCUUCCUUUACUCCACCACCAGAGUCUGUCCAAAUGACUACUCCAUCUUCACCUGAGGUGCCAUUUGCUCGGCUACUUGACCCAAUAGACCAAAAUUGUGAAGAUGGUCAGAGAUAUCCUUUGCCUCAAUAUGAAUUUCAAUCGUAUCAGCUUCAACCUGGAAGCCCUGUCAGCCAUCUAAUCUCGCCCAGCUCAGGCAUCUCUGGUUCAGGUACUUCAUCUCCUUUCCCUGAUGGUGAGUUUGUUUAUGGACGGCCCCACUUCCUAGAGUUCAGAAGUGGUGAUCCUCCCAAGCUUUUGAACCUUGAAAAGAUUGCACCUCAUGAAUGGGGUUCUCGGCAAGGAUCUGGUACUAUAACGCCCGAUACUGUGGCACCUAGAUAUCGCAAUGGGUUUCUUCUGGAUAAUCAGAAAUCUGAUGCUUCUACAGUUUCAAAUUCAUAUAACGUCACGAGAGUUGAUGAAACUGCUGUUGAUCACCGAGUUUCCUUUGAGAUAACUGCAGAAGAAGUUGUUAGAUGUGUUGAAAAGACGCCAGCAGUCUUUCCCAAGGCCGUAUUAGCAACUACUCCAUCGAAUACUGAAUGUGUGGUUAAAACAGAGGAUAAUCCAAAGGAAAUGGCAAAUGGACAUGAAGGCUGUGCUGGCGAAGCCUCAAGAAUUGGUUCUGGUAGAGCUUCUGUAGAUGGCGAUGGUGGCCAGUGGCAUCAGAAGCAGCGAACAAUAACCCUUGGCUCUGCAAAAGAAUUCAACUUUGACAGUGUUGAUGAAGGGAAUUCUGAUACACCUAAUAUUGGAUCUGACUGGUGGGCCAAUGAGAAAGUUAUGGGGAAGGAUGGUGUGGCAGGCAAAAGCUGGACUUUUUUCCCAGUGAUGCAGCCAGGAGUCAGCUAAUGGCUGCAUUGGGUUUUACACCUGUGCAACAAGCUUGUUGCCUGGCUUGAUUCUCUGAAGUCUGAACCCAGCCAGCAAGGAGCAGAACAAAUGGUUGAGCUUUACAAGGUUCUGAUGUUGAUGAUACAUGGCAGCACUGACCAAAAAAUGGAGGCUGUUUUUUGCACAUUUCUGACCGUAGAAACGAGUGAAGGUGAGGUAAUAUUAAGAUUUAGUGAGGAUUGCAUCUCCUUAUCCUCUACCUAAAGCAGAUUCAUAAUAGUAAUUAACAUGAUCUAGAUAUUUGGCUUUUCCUUUUUGAUAUGUAAUAUAAUAAGCUAUGGAUGGAACAGUUGUUUUAAUGCAGCCCAUGAUGAUGACGACAUAACAGCUUCAGUUUAAUCUUGUGUUUCUCUCUUCGUUUGGCGUAGUGUUCUAAUCUUAUUUCAUCUGGAAACUUUGGAGGAUACUACUGUGCUUACCUGAAUAUGUUCGUCAAGCUCCAUAUCCUGUCAGAAUGGAAGUGAGGCUGCCAAUUCUUGUCCUAGCGCAUCAGUUACUGAAGCAGUCUCGAUGGAUAAUCAUUGAGUUCCUCAGUUGCCUGGACUUGUGCCGACAUUAGGUGAGUUGCUUGGUUCCAAGCGCUCAUGCCAACUGUUUGGACUCUUGGGGUUUGUAUUUUACCCUGAAUAACAUCAUCGACCCUAGAAUUAAUUGGCUCGUCACGUUGCAAGAUCCAAAUUUUAAAUCAUAUUAUAGUUGAUGCAAUUUGACACUGUCAAUUUUCUUUUGUUUGGGUGUCAACAAGUUGACAAUCAUGUUCUCUUUGUAAAUCAAUCUUACUGUGCUUGACCAUAUACGAGAGAUGAGUUAAAGCCGGCACCAUGGCGAUGCCUCACCAUGGCCGGCAUUUGUGAACUGUUGACAGUAAUAUUUGCAAGGGCAGACACAAAAUUGGCUCCGGACAAUUAAGUAGCAAGAGUGUGCGACUUUAGUG